UAGCCGCAGUAUUUUGACUGUGCGAAGGUAGCAUGAUAAUUAGGCUAUUAAUUGUAGUCUUGAAUGAAUGGUUAAACAUAANAUCUUCUGUUUUUUUUAUAAUGAUGAAUUUUAAUAAUUAGUAANAAUGCUAAUAUAAAACAUAAAGACGAGAAGACCCUGUUGAGUUUUAUAUAACUGUUUUAGAAAUAAUNGAGNAAUCUGGGAAGGGUAUAUUUGGUUGGGGCGACCUUAAUAUAAAACAUUAAAUAUAAAAGGAAUUAUUGAUCCNUUAUUAAUGAUUAANAGAAUAAAUUACCNUAGGGAUAACANCAUAAUUUCNUUGAAAAGUUCAUAUUGAUAAUGAAGUUUGUGACCNCNAUGUUGAAUUAANAUACCUAAUGGGNGCAGGAGCUUAUAAAGGNAGACUGUUCGUCUAUUAAAUUCUUACA
rnacentral:rRNA from 1 species